GCCUGGGUGGCUCAGUCGGUUGAGCGUCUGACUUUGGCUCAGGUCAUGAUCUCGCAGUCAGUGAGUUCGAGCCCCGCAUUGGGCU
rnacentral:tRNA from 1 species